rnacentral:piRNA from 1 species
UCACUCAUUUCAAUUCAUGUU